UCUGCCGCGUCUCCGCCUUUUCCUCCGCGUGGCCCGUUCCGGCUCCUCUCCGCGGCGUGGGCUGCAGGCACCGGUAGACUUGCUGUCCGAGCCAUCGCUCUCGCUGUCCCACUCGUCUGGGUCGGAAGCGAAGCCUUCGGGUGAAAAUAGAACCGAGUGGCCGAGCAGCUGCUCCUGAUCCGGUGACCGAGCGAGGGUCCGCUCCGGAUCAGCAUAGCAUUUCGACUCAAUGACGGCUGUUUUCUGGGUCGCCAGCUCGCGGCGGAGAAGGGAAGACAGUCACAAACAUCGGGACCAACGCAACGGCCGCCAUUUAUGCACAUGUGCUCGCAUAUGCCUGAGGAAACGGAGAGAGACGAUUUUGGGAAGCAAGCAGCGUCUCCCGGUGUAGCCCUGCAGGCACCAACAGACGUUGUUCCUCAUGCACAGACCGCCAUUCUUGCAGGGCGGUGUGCAAAUGGCUGCAAACAGAAAGUGGGAUGGCAUCAGUGCAGCCAAAGCAGAGGAACACGCGUCGUCCCGAUACCACGUACCGUUUUGACACCGGGUACCGUAGAAACCGCCAGGACACUCGCAGCUGUCGGGUCGGAUGCACAAACCGCCGUUCAGGCAGACCGGACCGCAAAGAGCUAAAGAAAGCCGACAUCAGCAUGGGGACAUUGGACGGUAAAAUUUUCAAUUGUGCCAAAUAAAAAGGCUUGAGCCACAUCAUGUGGUGCCUCGCCAUACAUGUUUCGGCAACGUUGAAAUUCCCAACCGUUUUGCACCCAGUCUAGUACAGCAAGGUAAGGAAAUUUUCAAGCUCACCAGUCUCACAGGAAGGUCCGCUCCAACCAGGCUGACAGCUGCACUUGUCUGGAGAGACACAGCGGCCGCCGUUGUGACAGUGGCGGCUGCAAACCACUGCGACCGACAG